rnacentral:lncRNA from 1 species
AGAGGAAAACCACCCACAUAAACACAUGGCUGUCCAAACUAUUAUCCCUGUCUCUGUAAGGAAAAGAUAGGAAAACAAUGAAGAUACUGGCCUGAUCCCAACAGUAGACAUAAAUUUGAAUCUUUUGACUUGACUCCGGGUAAUUCAUUCUCUUUACUCAGUUGAUGGUAUAAGUUAGUGCUCAGCUAUGCUGAUGUCUUUCCUCUUACUACAGUAAAGAGACACCCAAUUUCCUUGAUGGCUGGUCAGAAAGAUAGCUUGCUGGAAACAACAGUAUUUCCUGAGAGGAGUAGGUCUUUCAUCUGUUAGUCUAAGACAUCCUGAAAGUUCAAUGUGGACAAAUAUAUCUGCCAAGAAUCUGCUUACUUUACACUCUCUAUUCAUGACUUCAUGCCAUACUGAGGAAUUUCUUUGUAGUACAUCUUGUACACAUUUGUAAGGAGAUAGGGACCUGAUUUUUCUGGUUCGGGCAUUCAGCAAGAUAACCCAUCUUUCACUGGUGCCAACCCAGGCUCCUUUUACACUUUUGAACGUUGGAUUACAAGAAAUUUGAGACUUUUGCAUUAUCUUAUUCAACUAACUUAACGAUCUCCAUGAUUUCCAUUAGAAUAAUUUAUUCUAAAGACACUGUUGUAUCUUGUCUUGGUUGUGUUAUUCUAAUAUUUAGUGUGAAACACAGUUUGACAUUUUACAGGUGAGAAAGCUACUUGUGAUGAUAUGGUUUACUUGAGAAAUAUCUUUAGAUUUCCUGGAAACAAACAAACAAACAAAACAAUGAGCCAUUUCUGAGGUCAAAAACAUUAAAAUUCUUCAAGUACAAGUGCAUCUUUGUAGCUUUGUCGCUUCUUUUGUGUGGCUCACCUACUAUAUGACUUUUGGUUUUAUUAUUUUUCAGAAGCAAACAUUACUAAAUAAUGAAAGAUUACAAUGGGGAACACAGAGUGUUGAUAUGCAAGUGGUAUCUGCUAAGGAAAUAGGGGCAGAGACCACCCAAGCCACUCAGAAUGGACUCAGAUGGUCUGAAUGCCUGAAAGCCCCACUUUCCAAGUUACCAAGAUGUCUGUUAGUUGCACAGUGUGUUCUGGGUUUCGUGAGCUGGGCUGGGCUGCGGUGGGCUAUGGUAAUACAGCUGUCUGUGAGUCAUAUACACUCCUCUAAGUAGGCCCCUCACUCAUACUCCUGUUAACUCCAAUAAAAUUCAAUUGUUCAUCAAGG